rnacentral:rRNA from 1 species
CAGUCGCCACGGUAAUACGUAGGUGGCAAGCGUUGUCCGGAAUUAUUGGGCGUAAAGCGCGCGCAGGCGGUUUCUUAAGUCUGAUGUGAAAGCCCCCGGCUUAACCGGGGAGGGUCAUUGGAAACUGGGAGACUUAGAGUGCAGAAGAGGAGAGUGGAAUUCCAUGUGUAGCGGUGAAAUGCGUAGAUAUAUGGAGGAACACCAGUGGCGAAGGCGACUCUCUGGUCUGUAACUGACGCUGAGGCGCGAAAGCGUGGGGAGCAAACAGGAUUAGAGACCCCGGUAGUCCCUGUCUCUUAUA